rnacentral:lncRNA from 1 species
CAGAAAACAACAGCAGCAGCAGCAGCAGCAAUGCACUGAAUUGCAUUCUACAUUGUGUCAUCCACCAAAUUGCCAGCAACACUUGCACUACUGUUGUUGUUUCCAUGUGUUCUUCUCAGCAUUUUAUAAGUACUAGAAGUCUCCAGGGAUGAGAGAAGUAAAUGGGAAGUCCAGAACUGUGAGUUCUAAUUGGGAUUUUGCUAUUUGAUUUACCACCAUCAAACUGACAGAGAAGAAGCAAAAGAAGCAGAAGAAAAAGAAAAAUGAGGAGGAGGAGGAGGAGAAGAAGAAGGAGAAGACGAAGGAGGAGGAGGAAGGAG